CAGUUCUCAACAACAUUUGACAUUAAAAAAUGCCUGCAAAGUGGACAUUUUAAGAGAACAAAUAUAUAAAGCAACAGCGAAGCAUUAUAAUUUAUGCCCAAAGAAGAUUGAUACUUUUUACAUAACACUGGCUCUUAACAAAGUAGAUAAACGACUCACCACAGGAGCAGACAGUAAAUUGCAAUGGAGUGAAAAAAAUCUCAGAGAUGUAUUGCAAGUCAUUGUGACGGACUUCAAGGCAAAGUUCCUGGAACAACUUCUUGAUGGAUAUUAUUCCCCUUCAAAAGUCAUGAAAACACUA
rnacentral:sRNA from 1 species